GACGUAGGGGGCCAGCGUUGUUCGGAAUCACUGGGCGUAAAGCGCACGUAGGCGGAUUGCUAAGUCAGGGGUGAAAUCCUGGAGCUCAACUCCAGAACUGCCUUUGAUACUGGCGACCUUGAGUCCGGGAGAGGUGAGUGGAACUGCGAGUGUAGAGGUGAAAUUCGUAGAUAUUCGCAAGAACACCAGUGGCGAAGGCGGCUCACUGGCCCGGUACUGACGCUGAGGUGCGAAAGCGUGGGGAGCAAACAGG
rnacentral:rRNA from 1 species